UCCGGCGGCCGCGGGCGGGGAGGCAGGAAGGGGGCGGGGGGCGGGGGAGCGCCGCCGAGCCGGGCUGCCUCUCCCCUCGGCCACGGCCUCGCUGCCUGCCCAGGCGCGCCGCAGACUUCACUGGCCCCUCCGGGCAAGUCAGCCGCCGCCAAUGGCUCCCGGCGCAGGGGGGGGGGGGGGGGGCCGGGGGAGCCGCCGGUCAGGAGCAGGAGCCUGCAACCGGCCAGGUUUCCCCUGCGCUUCCCCCGGGUUUCUCAAGGCAGCCGUGCUCCCCCCAGGCUGGGGCGGGAGCCACCGGGACCCGCAGCCACGAGCCCAGAAGCCCCAGAUCCCUGAUAAGAAAAGAGGCCAAGUUCAGCACUAGCACCAUUGACUUCACUGGACACAUGGAUUGAAUAUGGCCCAUUAUUUUUAGUGUUUUCCCCCCAGUGGUGAGUAGAGACAAGGAACACAAGAGAUGGAGACUUCUUGCUUGCUCCUCCACUUCCAAGUGGCCAUGCAAGGAUGUUUUAUGAUCUGUGUGUAAGAGAAGUAUUUGUACAUGGAAGAACAGGCAAAACUCACCAGGGUUUGGACCCCCAUGUUUCAUGUUGCGUUUCCAAUUCAAGAGAAAUUCAGCUGAAUUCCACUUAAAGCAUAAAUUCCUCCUCUGCACUGAUGGGGUUGAAAGCGGUUGCUGAAAACAUGGCCCAGGUUUGCUUGAAAGGUUCAUAACUAAGUCGAAGACAUGGUGUGUUACACUUUAUGUUGGUUUCACAUUUGUACUUGAGAGGAAGAAGGGGCUAAUAAUCUGGAAUCUUCCAACAAAUGUACUUGAAAGAUCAUAUAUUGGGAGAUGUCCGUGAAGUAUUGUUAGUACAAAACAUGCCUGCUCAUCUUAUUAGCACACUCAGUCAUGAGUGCAAAAGCAUAAGAUGCAAAAUGGAAAGUUUCUGCAAAUAAGACGAGAACUCACUUGCAGUAGAUUGUCAUGUUAGCGCUUUCUAGUUACUGAAAGGAACCACUGUGAUACAAGUCGUACUAGUGAAGAAUCUCUGUGCCAACACUGUAAUAGGAGCCCUUUUAUGAGUAAGCAGAAUUUUUAGAUGCAAACUAUUAUGGGUCAAGCAAGGGACGUAAACAGACAAAAGGAAUGAAAACAGCUGUAGCUCUACUGAGAACACUAACUGUGAAACCGUUGGAACAUUACAUUAGUAAGUACUUGUAUGGGAGAUUUUUCCCACACAAGUCAAUUACCUAUUUUCAGCCAUUGUACCUUUGGUACAAUGUAGAUAAAGUGCAAUAGGUACAUGUUUGCCAAUCUCAUUCUCACAGGGUGAAAUCCUGGCUGCAGUGAAGUCAAUGGCAAAGCUCUCAUUAUCUUCCAUAGGGCCAGGAUUUCACCCACAGUUUUAAAGGAACAUACAAAUUGGCUUCAGCUAAACCAGUGAGUCUUCCACUACCAUCACAAGCUGCGUUAGCCGGAAUAUCAUGGCCAUCUCCACAUUGGGCCCAUUUCUCAAGUUAUUGAUCAAAAACAUAUAUCAGAAGUCAAUGGGCAAAAUUCUGUUCCUACCUUUGAUAGCUACAGUAGAUGCAUAUAUGUAUAGGCAUGUAGAACCUGUUAUUUACUGAUUUGUAUUGGAGUAGCACCGAGAGACUACUUUCAUGGUUCCCCUCAUGCUAGCUACUAUAAACACACAAAUAACGAAGAGACAGAUUAUAAACCCUUCAGGGGAGAGGCUAGCGAUUUGUUCUUCUUUUGAUUUUUACCUUUUACCCCAUCUCUGUGAGAUGUGGAAGCUCCCUUAGUAAUGUAAGAUAUCGUGUGGGCAAGUGGUGGGACGCAAAGCAGAGGGUGCCUUCCCAACUUAGAGACUUGAUUACAAGCCAGGUGCCCGAGCACAAGGACUGUACUCUCUUAGCACCCUGAAGGGCCAGCCCAAUGGAGGUGGGGAUGAGACAAAGGCUGGCCUUCCUUCCAUUAGCUGCACUGCCCAGACACAGAGAAGGGAGUACGCUGGGAACACACAUCACCCUCUUAAAGGAAGUGGGCAUAACCUCUCUGUGCACCUGGGAUCUGUGGCCCCAAUUCAGCACAUGCUUAGUUUUAUUCACAUAUCUAAGUCCCAUUUGUGACACCCUGACACCCCAAAAUUCACCACUGUCAUGUAAUUAGGAUAUGUCUUAUACAAAGUAUGCCUUGGAAGGUGUCAUUCUAAAAGUCUUAAUCUGCUAGACAGUAAUGUCUUGGUGGAUCAUAUGUGCUAUUGUUGUAUGUGAAGUUAUGAAGUUUGGCUAUGUAUGUGUUACUCAAACCUGUCCUGAGGUUGAAAACACACACAAGCAGCCUUUCAGAUAAGGCAAUAAAAAGGCCAAACAAUAUUAAUGGCUUAUUGAGGAAAUGAACACAAGCACAAGGAUUACCCCAGGAACUGUGUACAAUAGAACCCUCUCAGAGAUAGCACUACACCAGGGGUGAGCAUACUACAGCCUGUGGGCUGGAUCAGGCCCUCCAGCUGUUUUAAGCCAGCCCUUGAGCUCCCACUGGGGAGAGGGGACUGGGGCUUGCCUUGCUUCAUCACUCCAGGCUGGGAGCAGGGUUGGGGGCUGAUACACGCAGCUCCUGGAAGCAGCAGCAUGGCCGCUCUCUGGCUCCUACGUGUAGGGGCAGCCAGGGGGCUCUGCUCUGCAUGCCUCCCCUGGCCCCAAGUGCUGCCCCCACAGCUCCCAUUGGCCAGGAACCAGGGGCAGUGCUUGCAGAUGGGGCAGCUUGCAGAGUCGCCUGGCUGUGCCUCCUCAUAGGAGCCGGAGAAGGGACAUACCACUGCUUCUGGGAGCCGCUUGAGGUAAGUGCCACCCAGAGCCUGCACCCUUGAGCCCCAACCCUCUGCCCCAACUCUGAUCCCCUCCUGCUCUCCAAAUCCCUUGAUCCUAGCCCAGAGCACCCCAGUACCUCAAACCCCUCAUCCCCAGCGCCACCCCAGAGCCCACACCCCACUUCCCGGUCCCAACUUGGAGCCUCCUCCCACACCCUGAACUCCUCAUUUCUGGCCUCAUCCCAGAGCCUGCACCCCCAACCAGAGCCCUCGCUCCCUCCCACACCCCAACCUCAAUUUCAUGGGCAUUCAUGGCCCACCAUAUAAUUUCUCUUCCCAGAUGUGGCCCUCAGGCCAAAAAGUUUGCCUACCCCUGCACUACACAAUGGGAACUGUUUGAUCCAGGUCUCAGCAAAAGAACUUUCCAGGAAGUGGGGCAAAGAUAUAAAGUGGGGAAAAUGACAUCAUGGGGGAGUCCUCACUCUCCCUACAACAACACACCUGGAAACACCUGAGGAACAAAGACUGAACUGUGGGAAGUGAUGGUCCCAGGCUUGAAGGAUUUUUAGCCUGUGUAUGAAAACCUGGGAAAGCCCAGGCAACUUGUGCCUUAAGAAUCUGCCAGCCUGUUUAACACACAGGGUGAGAAGUUGCUAAUUUGUAUCCUAUCUAUCUAGCAAGUUAAGAUCAGUUUGCAUUUUUUCUUUCUUUACUAAGGUAAUCUGCUUUGAUCUGUUUGUUAUCACUUAAAAUAUAUCUUUUGUAGUUAAUAAACUUGUUUUGUUUUGU